UACGAAGGGGGCUAGCGUUGCUCGGAAUUACUGGGCGUAAAGCGUGCGUAGGUGGUUUGUUAAGUCUGUUGUGAAAGCCCCGGGCUCAACCUGGGAAUGGCAAUGGAUACUGGCAGGCUAGAGUGCGGUAGAGGGUAGUGGAAUUCCCGGUGUAGCGGUGAAAUGCGUAGAGAUCGGGAGGAACACCAGUGGCGAAGGCGGCUACCUGGACCAGCACUGACACUGAGGCACGAAAGCGUGGGGAGCAAACAGG
rnacentral:rRNA from 1 species